rnacentral:rRNA from 1 species
ACAGAGGGGGCAAGCGUUGUUCGGAAUUACUGGGCGUAAAGGGCGCGUAGGCGGCCUGCUAAGUCGAACGUGAAAUCCCUGGGCUCAACCCAGGAACUGCGUCCGAUACUGGUUGGCUUGAAUCCGGGAGAGGGAUGUGGAAUUCCAGGUGUAGCGGUGAAAUGCGUAGAUAUCUGGAGGAAUACCGGUGGCGAAGGCGGCAUUCUGGACCAACACUGACGCUGAGGAGCGAAAGCCAGGGGAGCAAACGGGA